rnacentral:rRNA from 1 species
GUGCCAGCCGCCGCGGUAAUACGGAGGGUGCAAGCGUUAAUCGGAAUUACUGGGCGUAAAGCGCGCGUAGGUGGUGAAGUCAGUCAGAUGUGAAAGCCCAGGGCUUAACCUUGGAAUUGCACCUGAUACUGCUUCGCUAGAGUAUGGUAGAGGGGUGUGGAAUUUCCUGUGUAGCGGUGAAAUGCGUAGAUAUAGGAAGGAACACCAGUGGCGAAGGCGACACCCUGGACCAAUACUGACACUGAGGUGCGAAAGCGUGGGUAGCAAACAGGAUUAGAAACCCGUGUAGUCC